rnacentral:rRNA from 1 species
GCAGUCGAGCGGAUGACGGGAGCUUGCUCCUUGAUUCAGCGGCGGACGGGUGAGUAAUGCCUAGGAAUCUGCCUGGUAGUGGGGGACAACGUUUCGAAAGGAACGCUAAUACCGCAUACGUCCUACGGGAGAAAGCAGGGGACCUUCGGGCCUUGCGCUAUCAGAUGAGCCUAGGUCGGAUUAGCUUGUUGGUGAGGUAAUGGCUCACCAAGGCGACGAUCCGUAACUGGUCUGAGAGGAUGAUCAGUCACACUGGAACUGAGACACGGUCCAGACUCCUACGGGAGGCAGCAGUGGGGAAUAUUGGACAAUGGGCGAAAGCCUGAUCCAGCCAUGCCGCGUGUGUGAAGAAGGUCUUCGGAUUGUAAAGCACUUUAAGUUGGGAGGAAGGGCAGUAAGUUAAUACCUUGCUGUUUUGACGUUACCGACAGAAUAAGCACCGGCUAACUCUGUGCCAGCAGCCGCGGUAAUACAGAGGGUGCAAGCGUUAAUCGGAAUUACUGGGCGUAAAGCGCGCGUAGGUGGUUUGUUAAGUUGGAUGUGAAAGCCCCGGGCUCAACCUGGGAACUGCAUCCAAAACUGGCAAGCUAGAGUACGGUAGAGGGUGGUGGAAUUUCCUGUGUAGCGGUGAAAUGCGUAGAUAUAGGAAGGAACACCAGUGGCGAAGGCGACCACCUGGACUGAUACUGACACUGAGGUGCGAAAGCGUGGGGAGCAAACAGGAUUAGAUACCCUGGUAGUCCACGCCGUAAACGAUGUCAACUAGCCGUUGGAAUCCUUGAGAUUUUAGUGGCGCAGCUAACGCAUUAAGUUGACCGCCUGGGGAGUACGGCCGCAAGGUUAAAACUC